rnacentral:rRNA from 1 species
UACAGAGGUCUCAAGCGUUGUUCGGAUUCAUUGGGCGUAAAGGGUGCGUAGGCGGCGCGGUAAGUCGGGUGUGAAAUCUCGGGGCUCAACCCCGAGCGGUCGUGAGAAACUGGCAGGCUAGAGUGCGGGAGGGGAGAGUGGAAUUCCUGGUGUAGCGGUGAAAUGCGCAGAUAUCAGGAAGAACACCCGUGGCGAAGGCGGCUCUCUGGAACGCAACUGACGCUGAGACGCGAAAGCGUGGGGAGCAAACAGG